rnacentral:rRNA from 1 species
UACGGAGGAUCCGAGCGUUAUCCGGAUUCAUUGGGUUUAAAGGGAGCGUAGGUGGAUUGUUAAGUCAGUUGUGAAAGUUUGCGGCUCAACCGUAAAAUUGCAGUUGAAACUGGCAGUCUUGAGUACAGUAGAGGUGGGCGGAAUUCGUGGUGUAGCGGUGAAAUGCUUAGAUAUCACGAAGAACUCCGAUUGCGAAGGCAGCUCACUAGACUGCAACUGACACUGAUGCUCGAAAGUGUGGGUAUCAAACAGG